rnacentral:rRNA from 1 species
AUUGAACGCUGGCGGCAUGCCUUACACAUGCAAGUCGAACGGCAGCACGGGAGCAAUCCUGGUGGCGAAUGGCGAACGGGUGAGUAAAGUAUCGGAACGUGCCCAGUCGUGGGGGAUAACGUAGCGAAAGUUACGCUAAUACCGCAUACGAUCUAUGGAUGAAAGCGGGGGAUCGCAAGACCUCGCGCGAUUGGAGCGGCCGAUAUCAGAUUAGGUAGUUGGUGGGGUAAAGGCUCACCAAGCCGACGAUCUGUAGCUGGUCUGAGAGGACGACAAGCCAGACUGGGACUGAGACACGGCACAGACUCAUACGGGAGGCAGCAGUGGGGAAUUUUGGACAAUGGGCGAAAGCCUGAUUCAGCCAUGCCGCGUGCAGGAUGAAGGCCUUCGGGUUGUAAACUGCUUUUGUACGGAACGAAAAGGUUUGGCCUAAUAAGCUGAGCUCAUGACGGUACCGUAAGAAUAAGCACCGGCUAACUACGUGCCAGCCGCCGCAGUAA